rnacentral:lncRNA from 1 species
GUUUGCUCUACCAAAUAGUGAUCGUAACAAAUUGAUCUGUUUUGGAUGUUGCUAUAGUGACAUGCAGUUCUAUAUUUUGUUUUUCAGGGGGGAGGGGACAAAAGAAACACCAGUGUUAGCUUAAUCUUAAUGUCUGGUGUUUGUCAUGGUGAAAUUAUAACUAUUACGGUGUAGGAGAACACCGAAUAUGUUCUCUGAAUGAGCCUUUGUGCUUUUUGUCAUGUUAUGCAGUGAACUAUUUUUAAGGUCUAAUCAGUGGUUAUUUUUUUCCAACUCCGUGUUUCUCUAAGGAAUUCUUUCACACACGGACCAUUCUUAGCAGUUUUCCUCAGUGAUGGAAUAUCAUGAAUGUGAGUCAUUAUGUAGCUGUCGUACAUUGAGCAAAU